rnacentral:lncRNA from 1 species
GCGUGGCAUCCGAGGGCAUCCGUGGUGUCAGGUGAGGGGGCCGGGCAGGGGGUUGGAGUGAACCGGUAUUCUACCAAUUACUCCGUGCAUGGCCGGGAAGAAGUCAUCCGACUCCGCUAAGCCACUGGUUCAUGUCGAUGACAUGCUAAUAACAGCGUCACUUCUCUAGGAGUGGGAGGGGAAAAUCAAAUGAUAAAAGGUAUUCAGAAAGUUGAACAAGUUUCUGGGAAAAUGGGAAACCAGCAUCAAUUUGGGAGAUGGCGCAGGACUCCCCGCUCCCUGCUCCUCCUGUUCCAGCAAACAGGUUUUCUGUUGUCCCUUCUCUGUCAUCCCUUCCCCAGGCUCAGGGUACCUCAUGGACUUCUAAGUUAAUAGAUGCUUCUAGAAGGCUGUGUCUUCUCCCCAAGAUCCAGGGCUGGUGGGGGCAGCUCUGAGGGCAGGAGGAAGGCAGGGGCCAACUCCAGGCUGGCAGGGCGGGUCCACAGGCUUCCUGAUGACAUAGAUCACCCACCUGCAGAGCGAGGCAGGGUUUCUGAAACCACGAGUCCCUUUUACCCACGAAACCCCAAACCUGCCGCUCAAUGAGGUGAUAAACAACUCUUGUGCUUUCAGACAUGGGAAAAGGGUACUUCAGGCAGGCACCUUACUUCCAAAAGCAUCGUUUUCAAGUCAAGGGCCUCUUAGUUCUGAACACAAGAGAGAAACACGGUGCCUGGGUGAAGGGGUGAUUGGAUUGUUAAGCCAGUGGGAGGAUUUGCCAGGCGUGGGGGGGAAAUCUGGGAAAGAGAUUUUGUCCUUUUUUUUUUUUUUCUGUAUGCCAACAAAGCUCAAGGACUUGACUUCCCAAAGGAACACACUAUUGAUUAUGAAACAUGCAGUUUUUAAGCGUGAUAUUUAUUUUCAUUCAAGUGAUAGAAAAGUCAUGGACCUGCAGUUUUUUACGACUCAGAACGAAAGAUUCACUUUCCUCCUUGAAAGGUCCUCAUUCACUCUCACCCCUGCCUGUCUCCAGUAUUAGAGGCUGUCGCCUGGUCCUGCAGUUCCCACUCCUGGCUCUGAGCUUGCAGGGGACAGGGACCUGGGCCACCCAACCCACUGCGAUGUUCUGUUGAAAGAAAAGAAAAAAUUUUAUUCACUCCAUGCAGCCGUUCCCCUGCGUUUGCAAAGAGAGGAAUAACGGUGGGAGUGGGGACAGGGGCAGUUAAAUCUCCAGGCAUGAGCCCAGAGCUCUCAGUUCAGUAGCUCUCGGUAGGACCUGGGAAGCUGCAUUCUUAGCAAAGGCCUCCAUCCCCUUGCCCCCAGGUGAUUCUCAAAUGUGUUUUUCCUAGGACCCCAUUUCGUGCUAAGGACGAGGCCUGCCAUGAUACUUCUUCUAGCUGCCAAAAUCUUUGAUUUCAGGGGUUGUUACAUUUACACCCAUACGGUCUUAUUAUGAAAUCAUUGUCUGAUUUUAUGGGUGGAGAAAUGAAGGCUCAGAGGGAUUAGAUAAACUCCCUCCUGGUCACACAGUGAAGAAGUUGGAGGUUUUACUAGUGUUUGUGCAGUUCCUACCCUCUUUCAUCUCUCUGACAAAUACAGGGGCUUCUGUUUCCUCACCUGCUAGUAGAUACAAUAAGGUACUAUUUAAGGUUAAAUAAGGUACUAUUAGGUCAAACCACAUGAAACUGUUGACAUUCAACUAUUUAUAACCCCCACAAGCAGCGCUUUCAAAUGGGUCUGUCUAAUAAUUGCCAAGUACUGAGAAAAGUACCCAGCAUCAAGUACCAGCUCAGUAAAUAUAUCAAGUAUUAUUAGAAGCUCUUGUGGGUGGAAUUGUGUUCCCUGAAUAUACGUUGACUUCCUAAGGCCCGGACUGUGAACGUGACCUUCUUUGGCUCCAGUCUUUGAAGAUGCCAUGAGCUAAGUUCACAGGAGGUCAGACUGGAUGAGGGUAGGCCCUCAGUGCAGUGAUCGGUGUCCUUAUAAGGAGAGAGACUUUGGUAGACAGACACAUGCAGGGCAGGUGGCCAUGUGAAUAUGGGGCCAGAAAUUGGACCGAGGCGGCUGCCAGCCAAGGAAAGCCAAGGAUUUCCGGUAACCAGCAGAAGCUGGGAGAAACAGGGAGGCAAUCCACUCGGGUUUUCAAAGGGCACGGGCCGGGCAGCACCUUGAUUUCGGACGUGCGGCUGAAAAUUGUGGCAGAACAAAUUCCUGUCGUUGGACGCCUCCGAGACCAUGACCGUGGGUUACAGCCCCCUGCCAAGGAAACUCACACGGAAGCUUCAUGCCUCUGGUCAGCCCUGUGACCACCACCCCAAGCAGCAGCAUCGUCUUCUGGAGGAACAAGCUGGGGCAGCGGGCUCAGAUCACACAACAGUGAGCUCGGCCGGCGCUGAUGGAGAUACUCAGUCUCCAUCACACCUUCCUCUUGGACUCACCCAACCCAGAGGGAUUUGAUUUCCGCCCCCAUUUUUAAAAGAUUCUUUUACAAUAUACGCACACAUUUGGGCUGUUUUGAUGCUUUCCCAAGCUCCCUCCAGCUUGUGUAAUGUAGACCUGUCCCUGGGGGAAUGUUCAAGAGACAGAAAGACGGAAAAAUGGUAGCCGCAGAACACUGGGUAAACAUUAGUUCCUUUCAUAGCCUUCCUUUCUUGGAUGACAAGUCUGUGGCGGGGCCCCCAAAUCCCAAGGAGGCCCACUUCAAACAUUUAUUUGGAUCCAUCUAAAGGGUCAAGGACCCACUACAUAAAAAGUCCCUUAACAUACCCUGUUCAGACAGAUUUUGCUGGCACAAAAAUUCCAAUAUGGAAUCUCUGACCCAUGUUGUAUUUCUUUUUCAAUCAAUACAAAGUUUCCAGUGAUCUUUGUUUCACUUUUUUGGCCAGAAGAGACCCUUCACCAGUGUUCCCCUCUUACUCUCUACUCUCACCAAAAAUGGAAGUAAAUUAAAAAAAAAAAUCCUGAUGCUCUAAAUUCUGUCUGUUCAGGGAUUGGAUUUUCCAAAUAAAAAAGCAGACACAGAAGCCGUGAUUGACAGUGGGGCAGAAGAUACAAAAUCUGAAUUACGGAGUUCCCGUGGUGGCGCAGCAGUAACUGUAAUGAACCCGACUGUUUCCCAUGAGAACUCAGGUUAGAUUCCCUGACCUCAAUCAGUUGCUUAAGGAUCCAGUGUUGCUGUGAGCUGUGUUGUAGGCUGAAGACGUAGCUCAUAUCUGGCAUUGCUAUGGCUGUGGUGUAGGCUGGCAACUACAGCUCUGAUUCAACCGCUAGCCUGAGGACUUCCACAUGCUGUGGGUUCAACC